GAUGAAGAACGUAGCAAAAUGCGAUAAGUAAUGUGAAUUGCAGAAUUCAGUGAAUCAUCGAAUCUUUGAACGCACAUUGCGCCCGCCAGUAUUCUGGCGGGCAUGCCUGUUCGAGCGUCAUUUCAACCCUCAAGCCCUCGGGUUUGGUGUUGGGGAUCGGCGAGCCUUUCUGGCAAGCCGGCCCCGAAAUCUAGUGGCGGUCUCGCUGCAGCCUCCAUUGCGUAGUAGUAAAACCCUCGCAACUGGAACGCAGCGCGGCCAAGCCGUUAAACCCCCAACUUCUGAAUGUUGACCUCGGAUCAGGUAGGAAUACCCGCUGAACUUAAGCAUAUCAAUAAGCGGAGGA
rnacentral:misc_RNA from 1 species